rnacentral:rRNA from 1 species
UCCUACGGGAGGCAGCAGUAGGGAAUCUUCCACAAUGGACGAAAGUCUGAUGGAGCAACGCCGCGUGAGUGAAGAAGGGUUUCGGCUCGUAAAACUCUGUUGUUAAAGAAGAACAUAUCUGAGAGUAACUGUUCAGGUAUUGACGGUAUUUAACCAGAAAGCCACGGCUAACUACGUGCCAGCAGCCGCGGUAAUA